rnacentral:rRNA from 1 species
GGGACGAAAGCGUGGGGAGCAAACAGGAUUAGAUACCCUGGUAGUCCACGCCGUAAACGAUGAUCAUGAGUUGGUGGAAUAAUUUCACAAACGCAGCUAACGCGUUAAAUGAUCCGCCUGAGUAGUAUGCUCGCAAGAGUGAAACUUAAAGGAAUUGACGGGAACCCGCACAAGCGGUGGAGCAUGUGGUUUAAUUUGACUCUACGCGUAGAACCUUACCCACUCUUGACAUCUUCUGCAAAGCUAUAGAGAUAUAGUGGAGGUUAACAGAAUGACAGAUGGUGCAUGGUUGUCGUCAGCUCGUGUCGUGAGAUGUUAGGUUAAGUCCUGCAACGAGCGCAACCCUUUUCUUUAGUUACUAAUAUUAAGUUAAGGACUCUAGAGAUACUGCCUGGGUAACCAGGAGGAAGGUGGGGACGACGUCAAAUCAUCAUGCCUCUUACGAGUGGGGCAACACACGUGCUACAAUGGUCGGUACAAAGAGAAGCAAUAUGGUGACAUGGAGCAAAUCUCAAAAAACCGAUCUCAGUUCGGAUUGAAGUCUGCAACUCGACUUCAUGUAGUCGGAAUCGCUAGUAAUCGUAGAUCAGCUACGCUACGGUGAAUACGUUCUCGGGUUUUGUACACACCGCCCGUCACACCAUGGGAGUUGGUAAUGCCCAAAGUCGGUGAGUUAACUUCGGAGACCAUUGCCUAAGGC